GGAUAGCAUGCCCUUAGGAGGGGGAUAAUCUCGAGAAAUUGAGGAUAAUACCCCAUAGGCCAUGAAUGCUGGAAUGCUUUAUGGCCCAAAGCUCCGGCGCCUAAGGAUUGGUCUGCGGCCUAUCAGGUCGUAGUGGGUGUAACGGACCCACUAGCCUAUGACGGGUAUGGGCCUUGAGAGAGGGAGCCCAGAGAUGGACUCUGAGACACGAGUCCAGGCCCUACGGGGCGCAGCAGUCGCGAAACCUUCACACUGGGGGAAACCCUGAUGAGGGAAUUCCUAGUGCCUGCAUUUUUUGUAGGCUUUUAUCUAGUGUAGAUAGCUAGAAGAAUAAGGGCCGGGUAAGACGGGUGCCAGCCGCCGCGGUAAUACCCGCGGCCCAAGUGGUGGUCGAUAUUAUUGAGUCUAAAACGUCCGUAGCCGGUUCAGUAAAUCUUUGGGUAAAUCGGCCAGCUUAACUGACCGAAUUCCGAAGAGACUGCUGAACUUGGGACCGGGAGAGGCCAGAGGUACUUCUGGGGUAGGGGUAAAAUCCUGUAAUCCUAGAAGGACCACCGGUGGCGAAGGCGUCUGGCUAGAACGGAUCCGACGGUGAGGGACGAAGCCCUGGGGCGCAAACGGGAUUAGAUACCCCGGUAGUCCAGGGUGUAAACGCUGCAGGCUUGGUGUUGGGGGUCCUUCGGGGGCGCCCAGUGCCGGAGAGAAGUUGUUAAGCCUGCUACUUGGGGAGUACGUCCGCAAGGAUGAAACU
rnacentral:rRNA from 1 species